rnacentral:rRNA from 1 species
AGGCAGCAGUGGGGAAUAUUGCACAAUGGGGGAAACCCUGAUGCAGCCAUGCCGCGUGUGUGAAGAAGGCCUUCGGGUUGUAAAGCACUUUCAGUAGGGAGGAAGGUAGUGUAGUUAACACCUGCAUUAUUUGACGUUACCUACACGAAGAAGACACCGGCUAACUCCGUGCCAGCAGCCGCGGUAAUACGGAGGGUGCGAGCGUUAAUCGGAAUUACUGGGCGUAAAGCGCAUGCAGGCGGCCUGUUAAGUCAGAUGUGAAAGCCCGGGGCUUAACCUCGGAAUUGCAUUUGAAACUAGGCAGGCUAGAGUCUUGUAGAGGGGGGUAGGAAUUUCAGGUGUAGCGGUGAAAUGCGUAGAGAUCUGAAGGAAUACCAGUGGCGAAGGCGGCCCCCUCGGACAAAGACUGACGCUCAGAUGCGAAAGCGUGGGGAGCAAACAGGAUUAGAUACCCCUGGUAG